GGGGGAACCAGCUACAAGGGAUUGCAAUGCUUGUCAUACUCUCUUGCUAUAAUCACUGAGCUCUUGUAAGAGCUGUUCUCUUCCUGCUACGCUCUCUGGGGAAAGAGAGGUUCACCCACUGGAAGCUAGAUCCUGGCCUUGGGUCCAGGGUGGGUGAAGACGGCGAGACCCCGGCACAGCUGCAUCGCUGGAAGUGGGUCUGCAGUUCUGAUGGUGUCGGUUGGAGUGCUUGGGAGUCCUCAGCGAGCACUAGGAGCAUCGAUUGGCGGAGGUACUCGGUCGGAGUGCCAGCGGUCCAUCACAUCUACAUAUUAAGGAAAUUUUGGUUGCUACAUUGGGUAUCCGAAUGUUUGUUCAGGGUACAUUUCAUUGGCUACCCAAUCUGUUCGAUUCUGUUUUUUUCUCUCGUUUCAGUUUACAGUGCAUUAACAUUAUCUGGUUUGGCAGUUCUUCUCGGAUGGUGGACAUUGUUGUAUUCAUUGUAUCUAGGACUUAGUUUCUUCCCCAUUAUUUUGUCUAUCCU